AGCAUACAACACACACACACAUACAUUGAGACAAGCCUAUUCACACACACACACAUUGACACAGGAUUUAUCUAAGUCCUGAGUGUAAGGCAGCAGUCGGCCUUUGCUCGAAGUUCAAUACUGCCUAUGUGUGUGUGUGUGUGUAUUUUCACGUAUAUCUUGUAUCUUUAACUUGCUUCACUUAUUGAGUGCGAACAUGCUGGGGGAACUGCCUUGAAUUUUUAGUCGAAUGAAUCGACCCCAGUACUCCAGUUUUUACAGCCUGGUACUUAUUCUACGGAUUAAUAAUGUCUGCCGAACCGCUAAAUUGCAGGGACGUAAACACGCUGGAACCGGUUGUCAAGCGGUGGUGUGAUACAAACAGAAACAAAGACACACACACACACACAUAAUUUUUAUAUAUUUAUAUAGUUAUAUGUAGGUGGGGCCAUUUCUCCGUAAGUAAUAAAUAAAAGCUUUUGAAAUUUCCAGGCUGUAAUCCUUGUCAUUUCACAUUAACAUUAAUGGAAAAAUAAAAUGGCUUCAACGGAGAGAAAUUUUUACUGUCCCACUUCUAACUCUUAUCUCUCUUCAAA